rfam:Morus notabilis contig8988, whole genome shotgun sequence.
GGGCUUCUGAUGAUAAUUUAAUUAUCUUAACAGAUUUCAAUGAGAUUUUACUCUCAAUGAUCUGAUUGUUACACACACUGAAGCCC